rnacentral:rRNA from 1 species
CCCUUAGAUGUUCUGGGCUGCACGCGCGCUACACUGAUGCAUCCAACAAGUUUUUUCCUUGUUCGAGAGGACUAGGUAAUCUUAUGAGAAUGCAUCGUGAUGGGGAUAGAUUAUUGCAAUUAUUAAUCUUCAACGAGGAAUUCCUAGUAAGCGCGAGUCAUCAGCUCGUGCUGAUUACGUCCCUGCCCUUUGUACACACCGCCCGUCGCUACUACCGAUUGAACGUUUUAGUGAGCUCCUCGGAUUGUCAGCCUGGCGGUUAAUCCUGCCUGGCUAGCGAAAAGACGAGCAAACUUGAGCGUUUAGAGGAAGUAAAAGUCGUAACA